AGACGUGAAUGAAUGUGCAGGUGUGAACGAUUGUCACGCAAAUGCCACGUGUUCGGACACAGAAGGAUCUUAUGACUGUACAUGCAACAGUGGAUAUUCUGGCGAUGGAAGACAGUGUGAAGGUAACUAGGCCUACGUCAUUUUUUAUACCGCAGAAUUCCACCAGAAAUAAACUCCUUGGAGUAGCCAUCACCUGAACGUUUCCCGGAACUAAACAGCAUUUAAAAAAUUUUCACCGUAGUGGAGGUGAAGAGUGAAGAAUUUUCAUUUAGACGCGAAGCGUCGAGGUGAAUACACACUUCGAUGAAUACGUCAUUUGACCUGGGAGCCUCGCUCUCAUGAUUUGUUAGCCAACCACCCAACCCCUGGGAACGAGGUUGCCAACCACCUUGCCUAAUUUACUAAUGAGAACGAGGUUCCACGACUAAAAAGUACGUGUGACGUAAUUAUCGAAAGGAUGUAUAUCCUUGCACUAUUCGCCGAUCACCCCGAGGUGAAAAGUUGUUUUAGCAUAUAGCUACAACGAGAAAUACAUGUAUGCAGCAACCGCUCGCUCUUUCUUAACAGAUGAAGUAUAUCAGUUACAUAUGAACUAUAUUUCAUGAUAUUGUGAGGCACCACUAAUUUGUCCUUUUAAGUUCGUCAUGAAUUGAAUUAUACUAAAAGCAACAGAAUUAAACAGACAAUUUCCGUCUUUUUUCAUUGGAACUUUUCCCUUUCCAUUCCAUAUCCUUGCAAUAUUCGCCGAUCACGCCGAGGUGAAAAGUUGUUUAGGCAUAUAGCUACAACGAGAAAUACAUAUAUGCAGCAACCGCUCGCUCUUUCUUAACAGAUGAAGUAUAUCAAUUCCAUAUGAACUAUAUUUCAUGAUUACGUGAAAAUAAUAUUUUUUAAAUACAAAAGGGAAAGAACGUUCCUAAAGAGUUUCCAAACAAUCUAUUCUAUUAACUAUGGUAAAACAUGUUUGGAAAACUCGUCAAACUUUUAUUUUUCAAUUAAAUCUAUAUAGAGCUUGAAAUGUGAAAUUGUUAUAGGGGACAUUUGAAAUAUCCCUUGUAACAAUUUGUGACUAUCAACUCUCCUCAAUUACUCUAACCUUCGUUUGACCGGGGCUUAGAAAUGGCUUAUAGUUUUAUGAUCAAAAUCAACCGUUGAUAUAGAGCUGAUAACAUUUAAAAUUCAAAAAUGCUUAGUUGGUUAUUACCGCAAAUAGAGUGUUUCAAAAAGCAUAUUUUUAUUAAUUAUCUUCUAUCAUAAUCACUGUAACUUAAAUGUUUUCUUAUUAUCGAAGCACGAUUUCAAUUAAUAUCGAGAAAACAAGAUUGACGAGCACCGAACGAUUACAUGUAAAUAAUAUUCAAUGUUUUAUAGACGUGGAUGAAUGUGCAGGUGUGAAUGAUUGUCACGCAAAUGCCACGUGUUCAAACAAUGAAGGAUCUUAUGACUGUACAUGCAUCAGUGGAUAUUCUGGCGAUGGAAGACAGUGUGAAGGUA
rnacentral:lncRNA from 1 species